GCUUACGGCCAUACCACCUUAGGCACGCCCGAUCUCGUCUGAUCUCGGAAGCUAAGCAGGGUCGGGCCUGGUUAGUACUUGGAUGGGUGACCGCCUGGGAAUACCAGGUGCUGUCAGCA
ensembl:rRNA 5S_rRNA 5S ribosomal RNA